rnacentral:rRNA from 1 species
AUUGAACGCUGGCGGCAUGCUUUACACAUGCAAGUCGAACGGCAGCGCGGGCUUCGGCCUGGCGGCGAGUGGCGAACGGGUGAGUAAUACAUCGGAACGUGCCCAGUAGUGGGGGAUAGCUCGGCGAACGCCGGAUUAAUACCGCAUACGACCUGAGGGUGAAAGCGGGGGAUCUUCGGACCUCGCGCUAUUGCAGCGGCCGAUGGCAGAUUAGCUAGUUGGUGGGGUAAAGGCCUACCAAGGCGACGAUCUGUAGCUGGUCUGAGAGGACGACCAGCCACACUGGGACUGAGACACGGCCCAGACUCCUACGGGAGGCAGCAGUGGGGAAUUUUGGACAAUGGGCGAAAGCCUGAUCCAGCAAUGCCGCGUGUGUGAUGAAGGCCUUCGGGUUGUAAAGCACUUUUGGCGGGAACGAAAAGGACUGUGCCAAUACCACGGUUCGAUGACGGUACCCGCAGAAUAAGCACCGGCUAACUACGUG